UAAGUGUGUGUAAGUGUUUAUGUGGGCG
rnacentral:sRNA from 1 species